AGAAGAAAAUGGCAGUUGAGACACCAUGAUCACUCAGGUGGUUUUCCCAGAGUGAGGCUCAACCACUGCACUCUGGAUGAGCCAACCCCCGCAGUUUCCACAGGAAACCUGACAGCACAAUUUGUGAAUAAAUC
rnacentral:snRNA from 1 species